GGAAGGAUCAUUACUCUUAAAAACACACACAUACAUUAAAAAAAAACAAACAAAACACGCAGAGAGAGAGAUAAGGGUGAAGUUCUUUUUGACUCAUUGCCACCCUCUGGUUCACUAGAUUCACAAAGAAAACAAUAAGGCGCCAAUGUUAUUCAGAGUGUUUCAUUUUCAAUAGUGAGUUUAGAUGGGUGGGCCCUUUUUGAUGAAAAAAAAUAAAACCCCCUUAAAGUUGGUUUGAUUGAAUGGAAACACGCAUGAAUUAAGUUAUAUAAAGUUUUAUCAGGUAGCGCACACUAUCUGUUUAACUCUUUUAAAAAAAAGAAUUAAUUACAACUUACUAGUGUGGAUGUCUCAGCUCCUCUAACGAGAACGGACGUAGCGAACUGCGAUAUGCUAUGCGAAUUGCAGGAUUCUGUGAGUCAUUGUAUCUCUGAAUGCACACUGCGCCCUUCCUUAAUGGAUAGGGCAUACUUAUUUGAGCUCCAUUUUAAUAAUGCAAAGCAAAAAGUCUGUUUUCUUUUAGAAUCUUUGGAGAGAGAGAAGUAGUCUUUUUUUUUUUUAAAAGACAAUGUCUCUGUUACCCUUUUUUUUUUGAAAGAAUUCUAUUGGGAUCUUAUGAGGUUGUGAUUGUCUCAACUUAGGUUGAUUCUCUCCUUUACCUUAUAUUUCCUUAAAUACUCAUUGUUUACUUUUUUUUUUUUAUAAAGAGAGUGAGCUUUGAGUUUCGGGUAUAUGACCCUCAAUAUGACUUUAUGUUAUACUUGAGACAAGUCAUUACAAUAAAAAAAAGAUUCUCUUUUGAGAUUGAAAUAGGGUCUUUCAAUUCUAUAAUUGAUAGGACUUUGUUCAUUUUCUUUCUCUUCUUUUAGUAAGGGUAUUGAAUAAUUGAGCAAAUCUAAGUCUUGAUUUUGUAGUUAUCUUGUCUGACUUUAAUCUUUCUUUAAAAAAAAGGGGUUUCUUAUUUUCUAAUAAUGGACUCAAAUUAAGUAUGAUAACCCCCUGAAUUUAAGCAUAUAAUUAAGGGGAGGAAAAGAAAUUAACUAAGAUUCCUUUAGUAACUGCGAGUGAAACGGGAAAAGCUCAUGCCGAAUCGGGGGGCUUUAUAGCUCUACUGAGUUGUGGCGUAUCAACUAUUCUUAUUCUGCUUUAACUUGUUCGAAAUUCCUUGGAACAGGAUACCAUAGAGGGUGAUAGUCUCGUAGGACUUGUUAUCAAGUAGAAAUAAAAAGAGUAGAUUGUAGAGUCGAGCUAUUUGGGAGUAUAGCUCUAAUCGGGUGGUAAAACUCCAUCUAAAGCUAAAUACAAAGAGGAGACUGAUAGCGAACAAGUAGCGUGAGCGAAAGAUGAAAAGGACUUUGAAAAGAGAGUCAAAAGAAUCUGAAACACUAGUAAGGUUAAGCGGUCUUUUUGGAUAUAAUACUAAGUUGGUUUAAAUCAAUGGGGAAUACGUAACAUAUUUGUUUAGACAAGUAUUAACUCUCUGAGUUGAUCUUUCUAUCUUAUUUUGCCAAGUAUGACUCAUGCACUUUGGAUCGACUUAAACUAACAUGUCCUAUUCUUAGUGUUGGUAUUGGCUUUUCAUAGUAAAGGUAGCUCUUGGACUUUUAGUUUCAUGAGUGUUACAGUUCUAUGUAAUUACUGUUACCGAUAUUGGAUAGAGGGGGACUAAUAGUCUCUAAAGGAACUAUCUUGGUUUUUCUGCUAUUAGAUUGGCUUUGGUUGCUUUCGCUUGGUUUUUUUAAAUCAAGUUAGGGUGAUCAUUUGUUGUCUAUUUAGUGGUUACUUACUAUAAGAUUCCUUACGGAUGUGUGUUUAACAAUUAAAAUAUUCAAGUGACCGUCCCGUCUUGAAACACGGACCAAGGAGUCUAAUUGAUCUGCAAGUAUUAUGCCAUUUAAAGGCAAAGAUGCGAAAUGAAAGUAAUAAUAAGGGUGGAUUCUUCUUCUUAGGGAGGAGAUGCACACUCAACCAACCUGGGUAUUCGUUAUCUGGUUUGAGUUAGAGCAGAUCGAUUAGGACCCGAAAGAUAGCGAACUAUGCCUGUAUAGGAUGAAGCCAGAAGAAAUUCUGGUGGAAGUCCGUAGCGGUAUUGACGUGCAAAUCAUUCGUCGAAUAUGGGUAUAGCGGCAAAAGACUAAUCGAGCUAUCUAGUAGCUGGUUCCUUC
rnacentral:misc_RNA from 1 species